UGAGCGGAGGUAAUGCCAUUAAGACGCAAGGCCUAGCACAAUAUUUCGAUGCUAAUGACACCUUUUUUAAAAGUGGUUGACUAUGAUUUAC